UACGUAGGUGGCAAGCGUUGUUCGGAAUUAUUGGGCGUAAAGGGCGCGUAGGCGGUUUGUUAAGUCAGCUGUGAAAGCCCGGGGCUCAACCCCGGAGGGUCGACUGAUACUGGCAAGCUAGAGUACGGAAGAGGUAGCUGGAAUUCCCGGUGUAGCGGUGAAAUGCGUAGAUAUCGAGAGGAACACCUGCGGCGAAGGCGGGUUGCUGGGCCGACACUGACGCUGAUGCGCGAAAGCCAGGGGAGCGAACGGG
rnacentral:rRNA from 1 species